GGACGAAGAAGACGAGGAGAACAAGGUGGACGUGGAGGACUAGGAUUUGUGCUCGGUAUAACCCGAGGUGGUUAGCAGUAGUCGUUGGCGGUGAUUAGCGGUGGAUGGAGGCGGUCGAGCUGGACGAGGAGGAGGACGAGGAAGACGAGGAUUUGUGCUCGUAUUUGACAACAGUGAUACCUUAUCACAUGGACAGUGGCCCACCUGAUAAUCAAGCUUUACAAGUCCUCAUUAAGAUAUUGAAGGCUAUUGAUGAGGAUAGUCCAACGGUGCCCACAUUAUUAACGGACUACAUAUUAAAAGAUCUGUGCCCCACUUAGUGAUCCACUAGUACAUAUCCUCCGACAUGACAUCGCUCCGCUACGUAUGCAGAAGAAAAGAUUUAUUAAGAUGCAGAUUGCUCCUCUCUUCUUGCCAUUGUGCUUUCAGCCAUUGUUGUGCUGUGUGUUUAAAAUUUAGGACAGUAUAUAAUAUAGAAUAACAUGUACAUCUACGAAUAUAGCACUGCAAUAAAUCUUAUAGAAAUGA